UACGGAGGGUGCAAGCGUUAUCCGGAUUCACUGGGUUUAAAAGGGUGCGUAGGUGGGUUGGUAAGUCAGUGGUGAAAUCUCCCGUGCUUAACAUGGGAAACUGCCAUUUGAUACUACUGAUCUUGAAUUUUCAGGAGGUAAGCGGAAUAUGUCAUGUAGCGGUGAAAUGCUUAGAUAUGACAUAGAACACCAAUUGCGAAGGCAGCUUACUACAGGAAUAUUGACACUGAUGCACGAAAGCGUGGGGAUCAAACAGG
rnacentral:rRNA from 1 species